AGAGUCAGCUGGAUAAUCGCUCAAUUUUGAGAGGAAAGUCCGGGCUCCAUUGGACAAGACGCCAGGUAACACCUGGGAGAUGAAAAUCUACGGAAAGUGCAACAGAAAAUAAACCGCCUGCAAGGGUAAGGGUGAAAAGGUGUGGUAAGAGCAUACCGCGCGUUAGGUAACUAAAGUGGCAUGGCAAACCCCGUCUGGAGCAAGACCAAAUAGAGGCCUAUAGUUUGUCCUGACUGGGCCAGGGUAGGUUGCUUGAAUUUUACGGUGACGUGAAAUCUAGAUGAAUGAUUAUCCCCGACAGAACCCGGCUUAUAGGCUGACUCAACUU
rnacentral:RNase_P_RNA from 1 species